AGAGUACUUACUUGUAACCAAAAAUCUCUUCCAGUCCGUAGCUUUGCAUUAAAUAAUGAGCUUACAGCAUAUAAUAAAUACAGAAAAGAAAAAACGACGGGAUACAGCAACAGAUGGUCGCCAAAUCCUCCUCAGUAAUCAGCCAGGAAGUCGACUGCAAUUUCGCGCCUACAAAAUUGCAGUUGACCCUCUGGCCAAUAUCUGACGACAAGUUGGCCACCGUCUGUGUCUACUUCCCGUUAGUUUGGGCAGUUCUUAUGCCUUUAACUUAUCAUGUACAUAUACAUACACUUAUACACAUACAUACAUACAUACAUACAUACAUACAUACAUACAUUAAACGCAGGUGUUAUUCAAAUCUUUAUACUUCCGACAUAUGUUUCGAAGAAAGCAUUGGUUUUAUUCCAGGAGGAAUAAUACAUCCUUGGAACUUGUGUGAAUCUUUGCUACCCUGAUUCGUUUGAUUUUACACUCCGCUCAAACCAUUCGUGUGUGCGAACACUGCUUUCAAAUUUUGGCCCAAUGCCAGUAAUUUCAAGGAAGUGGACAUGGUACAUCUAGGAUUACAUUAUCAAGAGUAUCCUUCCUUGGCGUUAGUCUUUAGCCCUUAUUCAACUGUGAUUCUGGACACCCGUGAUCAAAUUUCUUCCUGUCGGAUAGUGAUCCAAGCUUACGUUAUCGAAAAGUACAUCAAUUAAUGUUCGUUACCCCCCAGAUUAAACUAAUUAACUGCGCAGAUUUAUUUAAAGAAAAACAUACCUCCAGUUAUUUUGUUAGAUAUUUCGUAUCAUCUACUGACUUCCUGACUUGUUAUACUAAGUAAUUUGAGCAAAAUUUGGCUGCUAUUUCUGAUCAAUCAGGCUUCCCAUGUCGAGGCUACCUGAUUUGGUCGUUUAUAUCUCAUAUAAUUUUAAAAGAAAAGAGGGAAAUGAUGUAUCUCAUGGGAAUAUAUUGUAAAGAGAAAAAAUAUUGAAAAAAAGAAAAAGGCGAUAUCGAAUGACCGGACAAAAAAUGGCGCCUAGAAAAACUAACAUAUGCAACGUCUUUGCGUUUUUCUCUCCGUUUUCCUUCUCUAAAACACUUCAGCUUUGGAUAAAUGGUAAAAGAAAUACCAGAAACAUACGCAAAUAGAUAAAAAUGAAGCGAUUUAUCAUCAGAAGGUUGUUAGAUGUGAAAGAUAAGAUGAGGCUAAAACGAAAUGAUUUUAAGCCAAAUAGAUAACUACGAAACAACUGGAAAUGAAGAAAUGCAAAAAAAAAAAAAUGAUAAUAAUGAUAAAAUAAAACAAAACAAAAAUAAACGAUCGUAGAUCGAUUCCGGAAAUUACCACGUCUGAAAUGAAUCAUUAGGGUAAGGGGAAAACGUUGUGAUUUGUGAUUUCUAGUUGAGUAAUAUCGAUUUUCAUCAAUGAUUAAAUCAAAGAAGUGCAGGCCUGUGUUGAGUGUUCAAUUUAAGAUCUUGAUACUUUGAUCUGCUGUUCAGUCGCGAGUUCAGCCUGGAAAAGUAAAAAGAAAAAGAAAACAAAAAUGCAAGGAUUGACGGGUAACACAUACACGUAGACUUCUGAAAUGCCUAUGCUGAUGUAUGUGCGCGCGCGCUGACAAACACACAAAUUAUAUAUACAAAUGUAUGAUACAUGUGUGUAUGUGUGUGUGUGGGUGUGUGUCUGUCUGUCUGUCUAUGCG